UGGAGUACAUGAGGAAGCCAUUUGGUGUAAACCUAAUUCCUCCUGACCUUGUUUUCCCAAAAGGGCCUGAUGUGGCCGCUGCGCAUGCAUUGUAUAUUUGCUUAAAUCAUUUCCUAUGUCCCAAAGACAAGAACAAAUGCCCUUAAGAUAAAGGUGCAACUUCCCCCGACUUUGGCAUUUCCUUAAGCAUCUUUCCUUAGGCUAGGAACUGAUUGCUGCACUCGCCUUUGACCACCCAGCUCGACACAACAGACCUGCCACCCUGCUGUGUCCACCGAGACAGCAGACCUACCUGCUGUGUCCAUCAAUCGCUGUGCCGACAGAGCAGUCUCAUGACUAUUGUAAAAGGGACAUUUCAAUCAUAUGCGAAACAUCCUCUUUGAGGGUAUAUACCCACUCUGUACACCCCACUUCUUUGGUGCCCUUUCUUCCUUCAGGAAGAAAGGCCCUGGGGCAUGGUCCUCACAUUUUGGCUCAGAAUAAACUCAUCCAAAUUUUCAUUUACAGCUUGGUUAUGGAUUAUUUUCGUCGACGCCACUUACGUGAUGAGAUGAGGUCUUCUGGAAAGUCUUCCUCACUUAAAAUGUUCCAGGCCUGUGCCUGUACUUUCAAGGCAUACCACCAGAUUCAUCGCCUGCCUUUUACGACGAGGAUGAUGGAUUUCUGCCAGAAUACUUAGGAUCACGAGCUGGGGAAGCUGUCCUGACAGAGUCCAUCAGCAUGUUCCUUGGGCAUGUCUCUCAAAGUCAUUUUUAACUCCUCGGAUUCAUUCGUCUUGUUCCUAAAUGCAGCAAGUAAGCUCCUGGCCGAAGGAGAAUCUUCCAAGAGGAAGGUGGUCCUUUUAUAAUUCCUAGUCUACUUACAGUCUACCUGCUGUGAUCCUUGCCUUUGAAUUUGAAAGAGCUCAGCAGCCAGCCCAUUUGGCUGUGGGGUGGAGAGGAUGGAGCAUGAGGUGGGACCUGCAAGGGCCGGAGAGGCCUUAGGCCAGGAACUACCCUCCUGGGCUUCUUUUUCCCCCUCCUGAAAUUGGUACAUCGAGUCUCUAAAGGGCUCUCGCAGCUCUGACAUUCGCUGAAUGAGCUGGGGCUCCCUGCCUCUCCCAGUUCCCCGCUGUGGCUGACGUCAUGAAGCCUGCUGUUUCUCACGGAUGUCACUCUUCCUACCUCUUUUCUUGUCCUCAUGCUGAUCCCACUAAUCGGGAUGGGACAGAUCCUCCAGAGAUUGUCCCCUGAAUCCCUGAGGCUGGCUGAACAGACCCCUUCUGUGGUUGCUUGCUGUGUGACCACGGGCAAAUGUCAAUUGACUUUACUUCUAUAACAUUUAUUGAGUUCCUAAUGUGUGCCAGGUACAGGGCGCUAUGAUGAGGAUGUGAAGAAUGCUCAUUAGUUAGGAGAGACAGACAUGCACCGUGCCAUCAACAUCAGUCAGUGAUUGGCAGCCCCAAGGCCCUGACUCACCAGCACAAAGGUCCAUGUGAUCAGGUCAGUUGCUGGCCAGGACUCUGAACCAGUGCAUGUUGAUUGACUACCACCUCUGAAUUGGGGCAAUAAAAAUGCAAUGUGAUAAAUGCUCUUAUAGAGG
rnacentral:lncRNA from 1 species